rnacentral:miRNA from 1 species
GAGCUGGGCUGAGCUGGGCUGAGCUGUGCUAGGCUGAAGUGAGCUGGGCUGAAGUGAGCUGGUUGAGCUGGGCAG